GGGUGAGUAACGCGUGGGUAACCUGCCUUACACUGGGGGAUAACACUUAGAAAUAGGUGCUAAUACCGCAUAACAGGAGAAGAUGCAUGUCUUUUCCUUAAAAACUCCGGUGGUGUAAGAUGGACCCGCGUCUGAUUAGCUGGUUGGCGGGGUAACGGCCCACCAAGGCGACGAUCAGUAGCCGGCCCGAGAGGGUGAACGGCCACAUUGGGACUGAGACACGGCCCAAACUCCUACGGGAGGCAGCAGUGGGGAAUAUUGGACAAUGGGGGGAACCCUGAUCCAGCGACGCCGCGUGAGUGAAGAAGUAUUUCGGUAUGUAAAGCUCUAUCAGCAGGGAAGAAAGAAAUGACGGUACCUGACUAAGAAGCCCCGGCUAACUACGUGCCAGCAGCCGCGGUAAUACGUAGGGGGCAAGCGUUAUCCGGAUUUACUGGGUGUAAAGGGAGCGUAGACGGCGAUGCAAGUCUGAAGUGAAAGGCGGGGGCCCAACCCCCGGACUGCUUUGGAAACUGUAUAGCUGGAGUGCAGGAGAGGUAAGUGGAAUUCCUAGUGUAGCGGUGAAAUGCGUAGAUAUUAGGAGGAACACCAGUGGCGAAGGCGGCUUACUGGACUGUAACUGACGUUGAGGCUCGAAAGCGUGGGGAGCAAACAGGAUUAGAUACCCUGGUAGUCCACGCCGUAA
rnacentral:rRNA from 1 species